rfam:Lupinus angustifolius cultivar Tanjil chromosome LG12, whole genome shotgun sequence.
UCUAGCCCAAAUACCAGCACUUAUGUACCGGAUCUCAGCAGAACUUGCAUUUUGGCGUGCUUGGACGAGAGUAUUAUUAGGAUGGGUGACCUCCUAGGAAAUCCUCAUGCUGCAC